UACGAAGGGAGCUAGCGUUGUUCGGAAUUACUGGGCGUAAAGGGCGCGUAGGCGGGUUUCCAAGUCGGGGGUGAAAUUCCGGGGCUCAACCCUGGGACGGCCUUCGAUACUGGGAGCCUGGAGAUCGGGAGAGGGGAGUGGAAUUCCGAGUGUAGAGGUGAAAUUCGUAGAUAUUCGGAGGAACACCGGAGGCGAAGGCGGCACACUGGACCAAGACUGACGCUGAGGAGCGAAAGCGUGGGGAGCAAACGGG
rnacentral:rRNA from 1 species